CCUACGGGGGGCAGCAGUGGGGGAUAUUGGACAAUGGGGGGAACCCUGAUCCAGCGACGCCGCGUGAGUGAAGAAGUAUCUCGGUAUGUAAAGCUCUAUCAGCAGGGAAGAAGAAAUGACGGUACCUGAGUAAGAAGCCCCGGCUAACUACGUGCCAGCAGCCGCGGUAAUACGUAGGGGGCAAGCGUUAUCCGGAAUUACUGGGUGUAAAGGGAGCGUAGACGGUGAUGUAAGUCUGGAGUGAAAGGCGGGGGCCCAACCCCCGGACUGCUCUGGAAACUAUGUGACUGGAGUGCAGGAGAGGUGAGCGGAAUUCCUAGUGUAGCGGUGAAAUGCGUAGAUAUUAGGAGGAACACCAGUGGCGAAGGCGGCCUGCUGGACGACAACUGACGGUGAGGCGCGAAAGCGUGGGGAGCAAACAGGAUUAGAUACCCUGGUAGUC
rnacentral:rRNA from 1 species